rnacentral:rRNA from 1 species
UGGGGGAUAUUGCACAAUGGGCGCAAGCCUGAUGCAGCGACGCCGCGUGGGGGAUGAAGGCCUUCGGGUUGUAAACUUCUUUUGCUCUGAACAAGGCGCACUUUGGGGUGUGUUGAGUGUAGGGGUUGAUUAGCGCCGGCUAACUACGUGCCAGCAGCCGCGGUAAUACGUAGGGCGCGAGCGUUGUCCGGAAUUAUUGGGCGUAAAGGGCUUGUAGGUGGCUGGUUGCGUCUGUCGUGAAAGCUCAUGGCUUAACUGUGGGUUUGCGGUGGGUACGGGCUGGCUUGAGUGCAGUAGGGGAGGCUGGAAUUCCUGGUGUAGCGGUGGAAUGCGCAGAUAUCAGGAGGAAUACAGGUGGCGAAGGCGGGUCUCUGGGCUGUUACUGACACUGAGGAGCGAAAGCAUGGGGAGCGAACAGG